rnacentral:sRNA from 1 species
AUGCCGACUAUAGAGGAGUUAUUGCCAGAUUUGAAUAAAGCAAGGAUAUUCUCCGUUGCCGAUGCGCGUAAUGGAUUUUGGCAUGUGAAAUUAGACAAUGAUAGCUCAAUGUUAACUACAUUUAACACACCGCAUGGACGAUUUCGAUGGCUUAGAAUGCCUUUCGGACUUAAUUCCGCGCCGGAAGAAUUCCAACGUAGGCAAAAUCAGAAUAUGGAAGGAUUAAACGGUGUGCGUUGCGUUCAUGAUGAUAUUUUGAUUUUCGGUGAAGGCGAAACCGAUGAAGCAGCUUCUCGCGACCAUGACCGCAAUUUUAGAGCUCUGAUGGAACGAUGCAGAGAUAAGAACCUCAAACUGAAUAGUGACAAAUUAAAGUUUAAGCAAACCGAGGUAAGAUUCGUAGGACAUCUUUUGACAAAUGCAGGAGUUCGAGCCGAUCCCGACAAAGUGAAAGCCGUAACGAAAAUGCCUAUUCCGACCGAUGUAUCCGCCGUCAAGAGAUUUGUAGGUUUCGUGACCUAUUUGAGUAAGUUCUUGCCAAAGUUGAGCGAUUUAUGCGAGCCGUUGCGAAAACUGACAGUACAAAAUGCAGAAUGGUGCUGGUUAGAUGCACAUGAUAGAGCGGUAUCCGAGAUUAAGAAACUAGUAUGCGCUAGUCCAGUUCUUAGAUACUAUGAUCCGAAAGAAGAAUUGACGCUUCAAUGUGACGCUUCGUUAACAGGACUAGGAGCAAGUUUAUUGCAAAAUGGACAACCGAUAACGUUUGCAAGCAGAGCACUUACCGAUGUUGAGACCCGUUACGCACAAAUUGAAAAAGAGAUGUUAGCCGUAGUAUUUGGCCUAGAGCGAUUUCACCAGUAUACCUACGGACGAAUUGUAAAUGUGGACAGCGAUCAUAAACCUCUCGAGUCGAUAGUGAAGAAAUCACUUUUAGCCGCUCCGAGACGUCUACAGCGUAUGUUGUUCCGAAUACAGCAAUACAAUUACAAUAUCAGAUAUAAACCCGGAAGUACAAUGUAUAUUGCCGAUACAUUGAGUAGUGCGUAUCUAAAAGAGACUGAUACAACAAGCUUUGAAAAGGAUUUAGAGGUUAUAAAUAUGGUUAAAUAUUUGCCGAUGACCGAAUCAAGAGUGAAAGACAUUAAGUUACAUUCACAGGAUGACGAGUCUUUGCAAGUACUGCAAACUACCGUAUUACAUGGAUGGCAGAUUAAGCGCGAGGACACACCCUCACUUGCGAAACCGUACUUCGACUUCAGAGAUGAAAUAACCGUACAAGAUGGAAUUCUUUUCCGUGGCGAAAGAGCAAUUAUUCCGAGAACUCUCCGUAUGGACAUGAUGCAGCGUAUUCAUUCGUCUCAUAUUGGAAUUGGUGGUAGUUUACGCCGUGCAAAAGAAUGCUUGUAUUGGCCCGGUAUGCAUUCUGACAUUACACAGUAUAUUCAAUCGUGUGAAACAUGUCAAAUGUUUGAGAAUAAACAGCAGAAAGAGACUUUAAUUCCGCAGGAAGUCCCAGACCGACCGUGGGCAAAAGUUUUGUGUAGUUUCGAAGGAAAGGACUAUCUUGUGACUGUGGAUUAUUUUUCUAAUUUUUGGGAAAUUGACUUUCUAGAAAGCACAAAACCGAAAACCGUCAUUCGCAAACUACGAGCCUUAUUCGCAAGGUAUGGCAUACCUGACACCGUAAUAUCCGAUAAUGGACCGCAAUUUAGUUGCAACGAGUUUGCGAAAUUCGCGACCGAAUGGGAAUUCGACCAUAAAACGUCUUCUCCAACCUACCCGCAAAGUAACGGAAAAAGCAGAGCAAGCAGUGAAAUCCGCAAAGAGACUCAUGAAACGUGCUCGAAAAGACAAUAA